CCCCACGGCUCUACCCCGAAACCUCCACAGGAUCCGAGAUCCUCCACCCCGUUCCGCAAGGCAACCCCGCGCUUCUGCAGCCCCGCCUGGCUAUGCCGUCCUGGAAGCCUGCCUCCUUCACCCGGCUACAGCACCCCCCUCAGACCUCCAGGUGACGUGUCCUUGGGUGGUGUUCUAAGGAGCCGGGUGCACAGAUGAGGGGCUGUGCUUUUUAUCAGCAGGUGCCAGUGUUUACAGUCUCUGGAAAACAACAAGCCUGUGAUCACUCGGGUCAUGGCUCCCAUUAAAUGAAAUGCACUUGAAGCAAUGUUGCAGCUUUUU